rnacentral:rRNA from 1 species
GAUGAACGCUGGCGGCGUGCUUAACACAUGCAAGUCGAACGAAGCACUUUAUUUGAUUUCCUUCGGGACUGAUUAUUUUGUGACUGAGUGGCGGACGGGUGAGUAACGCGUGGGUAACCUGCCUUGUACAGGGGGAUAACAGUUGGAAACGGCUGCUAAUACCGCAUAAGCGCACAGCAUCGCAUGAUGCAGUGUGAAAAACUCCGGUGGUAUAAGAUGGACCCGCGUUGGAUUAGCUAGUUGGUGAGGUAACGGCCCACCAAGGCGACGAUCCAUAGCCGACCUGAGAGGGUGACCGGCCACUUUGGGACUGAGCCACGGCCCAAACUCCUACGGGAGGCAGCAGUGGGGAAUAUUGCACAAUGGGCGAAAGCCUGAUGCAGCGACGCCGCGUGAGCGAAGAAGUAUUUCGGUAUGUAAAGCUCUAUCAGCAGGGAAGAUAAUGACGGUACCUGACUAAGAAGCACCGGCUAAAUACGUG